AGAGCGCAUUUAUUAGAUAAAAAGCCAAUGCAUGCUUUUACAGUAUGAAAAUUGGUGAUUUAUAAUAACUUAGCAAAUCGCAAAGUGAAAACAGGCGAUAAAUCAUUCAAGUUUCUGACCUAUCAGCUUUCGACGGUAUGGUAUUGGCUUACCGUGGCAGUGACGGUUAACGGGGGAUUAGGGUUCGAUUCCGGAGAGGGAGCCUGAGAAACGGCUACCACAUCUAAGGAAGGCAGCAGGCGCGCAAAUUACCCAAUUCUAACAGUUUGAGAGAGGUAGUAACAAGAAAUAACAAUACAAGGCAGUUAAAAUGCUUUGUAAUUGGAAUGAUAGAAAUUUAAACCCUUUUUAAAGUAUCAAUUGGAGGGCAAGUCUGGUGCCAGCAGCCGCGGUAAUUCCAGCUCCNAUAGCGUAUAUUAAAAUUGUUGCAGUUAAAAAGCUCGUAGUUGAAGUUCUGCUAAAAGUAACCGGUCUGCUUUUAAUAAAGGUGGUAUCUUGGUGUGUAUUUAGCAAUGAUGUCCUUUGAAGUGUUUUUUACUUUAU
rnacentral:rRNA from 1 species